GACGUAGGGCGCGAGCGUUAAUCGGAAUUACUGGGCGUAAAGCGUGCGCAGGCGGCGCGUUAAGACAGGUGUGAAAGCCCCGAGCUUAACUUGGGAAUUGCGCUUGUGACUGGCGAGCUGGAGUGUGGCAGAGGGAGGUGGAAUUCCACGUGUAGCAGUGAAAUGCGUAGAGAUGUGGAGGAACACCGAUGGCGAAGGCAGCCUCCUGGGCCAGCACUGACGCUCAUGCACGAAAGCGUGGGGAGCAAACAGG
rnacentral:rRNA from 1 species